rnacentral:rRNA from 1 species
AGUGAACGCUGGCGGUAGGCCUAACACAUGCAAGUCGAACGGCAGCACAGUAAGAGCUUGCUCUUACGGGUGGCGAGUGGCGGACGGGUGAGGAAUACAUCGGAAUCUACUUUUUCGUGGGGGAUAACGUAGGGAAACUUACGCUAAUACCGCAUACGACCUACGGGUGAAAGCAGGGGAUCUUCGGACCUUGCGCGAUUGAAUGAGCCGAUGUCGGAUUAGCUAGUUGGCGGGGUAAAGGCCCACCAAGGCGACGAUCCGUAGCUGGUCUGAGAGGAUGGUGGGCGGACGUGGAAGUGAGAGAGGGUGCGGAGUACUACGGGAGGCAGAAGAAGGGGAGCUUGGGCAAUGGGAGAGAGUCUGAAGAAGCAGCGACGGGUGAGUAAUGAAGGUCUUCGGAUCGUAAACGUCUGUUAUGAGGGAAGAAAAAAUGUGAACGUAACUAUGCAGGUAUUGAGGGGACCUAAGAAGAGAGCCACGGCUACCUACGUG